rnacentral:rRNA from 1 species
GUGUCAGCCGCCGCGGUAAUACGGAGGGUGCGAGCGUUAAUCGGAAUUACUGGGCGUAAAGGGUGCGUAGGUGGUUAUGUAAGUUAUCUGUGAAAGCCCAGGGCUUAACCUUGGAUGUGCAGAUAAAACUGUGUAGCUAGAGUAUGAGAGAGGGUAGUGGAAUUUCCGGUGUAGCGGUGAAAUGCGUAGAGAUCGGAAGGAACACCAGUGGCGAAGGCGGCUACCUGGCUUAAUACUGACACUGAGGCACGAAAGCGUGGGGAGCAAACAGGAUUAGAUACCCUGGUAGUCCACGCCGUAAACGAUGUCAACUAGCUGUUGGCCUUAUAGAUGGGGCGAGUGGCGCAGCAAACGCGAUAAGUUGACCGCCUGGGGAGUACGGUCGCAAGAUUAAAACUCAAAGAAAUUGACGG